UGGGACAUACUGCACCAGUUCAGGCUGCAAGUUUGCUGAUAUUAGGCCCGUUUGUGGAUUAUUGGUUGACGAACAAGAGGAUUGAUCACUUCGCCUUCAACUUUCCUUCUCUUGUUAGUACUCUGCUCUCUGUCAUGAAUAGCUGUUGAUUUUGUAAGACGCCUUCAACUUUCCAUCUCUUGUUAGUACUCUGUUCACUAUCAUGAAUUGCUGUUGAUUUUGUAAGAUGAUUCUUAUGUUGGUAACUUGGUGGGAAUGUGCUUUGAAAUGCUUCUUACUUAUAAUCCUGGGAAAUUCGAAAGCUUGAGAAGUCUAAGGUCUAUUUGGAAACAGCCUCUUUAUCCCAGGGUAGGGGUAAGGUCUGCGUACAUACUACCCUCCCCAGAUCCCACUAAGUGUGAUUAUACUGGGUUGUUGUUGUUGAUGUUGUUGUUGUUGUUGUUGAGAAGUC
rnacentral:lncRNA from 1 species